rnacentral:rRNA from 1 species
GAUGAACGCUGGCGGCGUGCCUAAUACAUGCAAGUCGAGCGAACUUUUGGGAGCUUGCUCCCAACAGUUAGCGGCGGACGGGUGAGUAACACGUGGGUAACCUGCCUGUAAGACUGGGAUAACUUCGGGAAACCGGAGCUAAUACCGGAUAACAUUUAAGACCACAUGUCCUUCAAUUAAAAGGUGGCUUUUAGCUACCACUUACAGAUGCACCCGCUGCGCAUUAGCUAGUUCGUGAGGUAACGGCUCACCAAGGCGACGAUUCGUAGCCGACCUGAGAGGGUGGUGGGCAACACUGGGCUUGAGAAAGCGCAGAGACGCCUACGGGGGGCAGCAGUAGGGAAUCUUAGGCACUGGACGAAAGUCUAAAGGAGCAACACGGCGUGAGCGAAGAAGACCUUCGGGUCGUAAAGCACGGUUGUUAGAGAAGAACAAGUAUCGUUCGAAUAGAGCGGUACCUUGAAGGUACCUAACUAGAAAGCCAGGGAUAACUACGUG